CUCUCCGAAAACUAUUUAGGUAGUGCCUCGUGUCUCACCUUCGGGGGUAGAGCACUGUCAUGGUUGGGGGGUCUAUUGCUGAUUACCCCGCCAUAGCAAACUCCGAAUACCGAAGAGUGCAAUCACGGGAGACAGACAUCGGGUGCUAACGUCCGGUGUCAAGAGGGAAACAACCCAGACCGCCAGCUAAGGUCCCUAAAUAUUGCUAAGUGGGAAACGAAGUGGGAAGGCUAAAACAGUCAGGAGGUUGGCUUAGAAGCAGCCACCCUUUAAAGAAAGCGUAAUAGCUCACUGAUCGAGUCGUCCUGCGCGGAAGAUGUAACGGGGCUAAGCAAUAUACCGAAGCUGCGGAUGCACGUAAGUGCAUGGUAGGAGAGCGUUCUGUAAGCCUGUGAAGGUGUCUUGUAAAGGAUGCUGGAGGUAUCAGAAGUGCGAAUGCUGACAUGAGUAGCGAUAAAGGGGGUGAAAGGCCCCCUCGCCGUAAGCCCAAGGUUUCCUACGCAACGUUCAUCGGCGUAGGGUGAGUCGGCCCCUAAGGCGAGGCAGAGAUGCGUAGCUGAUGGGAAGCAGGUUAAUAUUCCUGCACCGUCGUAUGAUGCGAUGGGGGGACGGAUCGCGGAAGGUUGUCCGGGUGUUGGAUGUCCCGGUCCCUGCAUUGGAGAUGGCACUUAGGCAAAUCCGGGUGCGUGAUUCAAGGGUGUGGGGCGAGCGACUUUAGGUCGCGAAGCAAUUGGAAGUGGUUCCAAGAAAAGCCUCUAAGCUUCAGUCAUACGAGACCGUACCGCAAACCGACACAGGUGGGCGAGAUGAGUAUUCUAAGGCGCUUGAGAGAACUCGGGAGAAGGAACUCGGCAAAUUGGUACCGUAACUUCGGGAUAAGGUACGCCCUUGUAGUUUGACUGGCUCGCGCCAGAAGGACGAAGGGGUUGCAAUAAAAUGGUGGCUGCGACUGUUUAAUAAAAACACAGCACUCUGCAAACACGAAAGUGGACGUAUAGGGUGUGACGCCUGCCCGGUGCCGGAAGAUUAAAUGAUGGGGUGCAAGCUCUUGAUUGAAGUCCCGGUAAACGGCGGCCGUAACUAUAACGGUCCUAAGGUAGCGAAAUUCCUUGUCGGGUAAGUUCCGACCUGCACGA
rnacentral:rRNA from 1 species